rnacentral:lncRNA from 1 species
GACUCUUUUCCCGCUAAAUUUUCAAUGGCUAAUAUCUUGAAUAUAAGUACACGGACCCCUAUUUUUUUUAUUGUUUUUUGUUUAUUUAUUUAUAUACUGUUAUUUUUUAAAAGUCUUCUGAAAAGCUUGUUGAUUUUAGAUAGAGUAGCGAACAUCUUUAACAACUGUUAUAAUACGAUGACACAUGUAUAACUAGUAUCUAUGAUUCCAUGUAAUGACUAAAAUUCCAUAUUCAUCCAUGUAAAAACGCGCGUUAUACAGUGUGCACCAUAUUUUUUUU